UACGUAGGGAGCAAGCGUUGUCCGGAUUUAUUGGGCGUAAAGAGCUCGUAGGCGGUUAAGUAAGUCAGGUGUGAAACCUCCAGGCUCAACCUGGAGACGCCACUUGAUACUGCUUUGACUUGAGUUCGGUAGGGGUAAGCGGAAUUCCCGGUGUAGCGGUGAAUGCGCAGAUAUCAGGAAGAACACCCGUGGCGAAGGCGGCUCUCUGGGACGGUACUGACGCUGAGACGCGAAAAGCGUGGGGAGCGAACAGG
rnacentral:rRNA from 1 species